GACGAACGCUGGCGGCGUGCUUAACACAUGCAAGUCGAACGGAAAGGCCCUGAUCUUGUGGGGUGCUCGAGUGGCGAACGGGUGAGUAACACGUGAGUAACCUGCCCUUGUCUUUGGGAUAACUUCAGGAAACUGGGGCUAAUACCGCAUAGGAGCUCCUGCAGCACGGUGGGGGUUGGAAAGAUUCGGCGGUUUGGGAUGGACUCGCGGCUUAUCCGCUUGUUGGUGGGGUAGUGGCUUACCAAGGCUUUGACGGAUAGCCGGCCUGAGAGGGUGACCGGCCACAAUGGGACUGAGAUACGGACCAGACUCCUACGGGAGGCAGCAGGGGGGAAUAUUGCACAAUGGGCGGAAGCCUGAUGCAGCAACGCCGCGUGCGGGAUGACGGCCUUCGGGUUGUAAACCGAUUUCGCCUGUGACGAAGCGUGAGUGACGGUAAUGGGUAAAGAAGCACCGGCUAACUACGUG
rnacentral:rRNA from 1 species